GUGAGCCUGGAGCCCCACCCACUGGGUCCCACUCUCUCAGAACCGUCAUUAAAUCCUGCCGGGGGUGGCGAGUGGGAGUAGGGAGGUGCUCCUUGGUGCCACUUUGCAGCCACUAAGAUGUCCUCUCUGAGCUUUUCUGAGAAGGCAGCUCCCGCAGUCAGAGGGAUGGGGCUUGCCGGCAGCCAUUGCUGCUGCCUGGAGGAUGGGUCUCUGAGGGGCCAGAGGGCCCUGGGCAGGUGCUGAGGGCCUGUGGGUAGUGGGUCAGGCUCUGCAGGACACAGUGCUAUGAGUUACAGGACUUCUGCGUGCCAAGGCACUGGGCCAGAUCGCCCCUUCCCCAUUUGUGCCCCUUUGUGACCCUCUCUGUCCCAAUCUCUGGUCACCUCCAGGAAGAGAACCUGGAAAUUCUGCUUCGAUGGCUGAAGUAGAUGUCACUGAACUCCCAAUGGUCAAAAGUGAGCAACACUGUACAGUUUACAAAGCAGUUUCACAUCCAUUCCCUGGUUUGAUUUGAUCUUUGCAACUGUUGGUAAGGAUAGCGCUGUGGCUAAUCCCUGCACCCCCAACUGCCUGGAGAGAAGAGGAAGUCGAGCAUCAGGAGUUGCGUAAAUUGCCCUCAGUGGCGAGAGGAGGCCGGACUCCAUUUCCAGUGCCUUCCGGGCACGCUUGGCCUUUCCCCAGCCUCUCCCCACCCGGACUCUUCAUCUCGCUGAUUGAGAGACUGAGGCCCAGAAGACUCUUGCCCAAGAACACACAGCUGAUGAGAAAACUGAGGCCACUUGCCCUCCAUUAUGCAGCUGGUAAGUGGUAGAGCCAGGGCCACCCAGUUGGCUUCACCAUCAUGCAGUUUGUCCUUGAGGAAGAGGAUGCUGCUGGCCCAGUGGUGGAGUCCCUCUAGCCUGCUUCCUCUAGGACAUAGAACCUGGAAAUUCUGCUUUGGUGGCUGAAGCAGAUGUCACUGACUUCCUAAUGGUACUCCACAGCCAAGUGAGCAGCACUUUGCAACUUUCAAGGACGAGGGAGUCCACGGUCUGGCCUUUUGGGGGCGCCAGCCAAGGGUGUCCGACUCCCUCUUUUGCUCCGCCAUCUCCCUGCAGGGGCGCAGGCGGGCAGAAGUGGAGCCUGAUUCCCGCCGCCCUCCGCGGCAGCUCAUUUUUCAUUCAUUUUCUUUAAAUGCUUCUUGCUCUGUUUUUAAAUCUAAUUUUUCAGCUUCUUUUUUUAUCUUCACUCAAGUUGCUUUAAUGAAACGAAAACGUGUCUGUUUCCCUCUGCUGGAGCUGCCUGGGGAAUUUCAACAUAAAACAAACAAGUUGGCUUUUAAAAUUAAAAUUUUAUGGGUGGCAUUUCCUCAUUUAAUGGGAGGCACAAAAGGCUGGAGCAAAACCAGUUAACACGGGGGUGGGACUCGGUGUUCAGCAAAAUUAAGCAGCAGGAGCACAGUGUGCUGGGAGCCGCUAGCUCCGGGGGGCUGGGCGAGAUGCGCAGACAGGCGACGUGGAGGGCGGCGGCCGCCCAGCACCACUGUGCACCCCGGACGGCCCCGCACACGUUUACAUGCAGCCCUCACCACCCCAUCCCCUGCCCCCAGGACCCCAUGCCCAGGUGCCUGUGUGCACACCUGCUCUGUACAUUCAGAUGGCAGGCGAUUGUGUGGAUGAGCAAACAGGGGUAGGGAAUGGCUGCUUUGGGGUGCUGGACACCGAGCCUGGAGAGGUAUCCGUGAAAGGAGCUAAGGUCUCUGCAAAAGCCAGGAUUCACUCAGGAAUUAACGCCCCCGGUACAGUAUGAGUCCCAUCCUGUCUUGAUCACGGCUGUGCCCCAGGCCCCAGACAGAACCAGGAGUGUGGUAGGCGCUCCACAAACACACGAUGACCCAACGAAUGACUUCAUUCGGGGGAACUCAGCAGUGGAUCGCUCAGAGUCCUUAUCACCAACCAUAGGACUCUGUUUUUUUUUUUUUUUUUUUUGGUAGAAAUGAUGAAAAUGCUACAGGAUCCAAGGAGGGAGGGGCAGUCGUGGUGGGAUCACCAUCAGAGAAGGGCUUUGUGAACCCAGCAAAGGCAGAGUGAAAAGGCAGCCAGCCCAGGGGUCUGGCAGGAGCAAAGGCCUGGAGGUGAGAGGUGGACGUGGCUGAAUCUGGCCAGAAAGUACGGUGUGUGCAAGCAGAGGACUCUGGAGAGGUCAGAGGCAGCCAGGUUGUAAAGUGUGGGAUGAGGAGCUUCGCUGGACUUUAUCUCACGGGCAGUGGAGACCCACUGCAAGUUCCAAAGCAGAUUGAUAUGCUCAGAGGUGGUUUCUGGGAGACUGAUUCUGGAGGCUGGUAGGAGGGAAAGGAAGAGUCCAGCCUGGCUGGGGUGGCAUUGGUCCAGGCUGAGCUGAGGACCUCAGGCUGGGUGGUCAAGGGGAUGUGGGACCCUCCUGUGAGCCAGGGAGCCCUGGAGGAGGAGCAAGUUGGGGAAGUGGAGCUAUUCAGUGUGUCAACGCCAGCUCACCCGCAGGUGUGGACCAGCCUGUGCUGACGACACAGGAAGUAGAUUUCACACUGACAUUUACAACCCGAUCCUGUAAGUACUGGGCCUGGUGCCACAGCCCUGGGAAAACAGGCCUCAUAGCUUCAGAGAAAGGGCCUGGGAGACCUCUUCUGCUUCCUUCAUCUUCAUCCCGCCCCCACCCCCUAAGUGACUCUUUCUAUCCUACAAUGGGGCAGAUUUCUCCCCAUCCCUUCUGCCCUCUGACUCCUGAUUCUGCGGAGAGGACCACUCUGGUUACUAGGAUCACCAGAGCGGCAAUAAGACGGGGAAAACCGAGUGUCCCACCUACUCUGAGUUAGGAAAUCUAGCUGGUCACCAUGACCACCACCAGCAGCCUUAGAGUCUUCCCCAGUCAGGGCUUCAGACCCACAGAUGCACUCCUGGACAGAGUCCUGCAGGCCCCAGACAGACCUCCGGCUGGGAUGUGGGCAGUGGGAGCUGGGUCCUGGCUGUCUUGGGAGGGUGUCUUUGAGGGAACAUCUGAGGUUGGAGGAAGGGGCUUCCUGAUACAGGUCUGUGCUCUGAUCUGUGCCCAUCGAAGGGUCGCAUCUGAGGCGGGUCUGAGGACCCAGGUGAGAGUCUCUUUGAGACCAAUUUGAGAAGCCUGAGGUUUAUUUGCAAGUAUCUUUGAGGCCUGUUUGAAGGCCUAAGGACUGGGUUGGCCUGAGGGCCAGUAGCGUGAAACCAAUAAAAAUGUCCCAAGGCUAAGGCUGAUAUGACCCUUCUCCCUCCAUAUAACAAAGAGAGUAAAUCUGGCCAAGUUUGCAGCGGGUUCUUAUGGCCAGGGGGCUGGUGGAGAGGCUGUCUUUCCUUUGGUGAUGGAUGACGUUUACCCCAAACCACAAAACAGGUGGGCAGAGACCCCAUUCUAUCCCAACAACCAGCUGGCUGACCUCGACACAUCUGGCAAAGGCAAUACACUUCUUGAGGACCACACCACCUGCCCAUCUUCCGGGGGAGAGAGACACCAUGUGCCCUAUCUGAAAUGGGUUUUUAAGUAUGAAUAGUGGUUCACCUGGUGAGCAAGGUGAGAAGGACCAUAUCGACUGAGUGACACAGGUGAAGACACGGAAAUGUGAAACAGUUUUCUGUGGGCCAAGAGAACUACAUCGGUUUUCCUGGAGUCGAGAACUUGCAAGAGCUAGCGUACGAGUAUCACACAAAAUAAACUGAGAGAGAGCUCCUUGCAAACUGUUGAGUGCUACACAACAUGAGGCCUUGCUCUUACCACCCAUCUCUCUUGUUUAUCACGGGAACCGAAUGAGUCAGUGUGUGAAGUUGCAUUGUAAACUGGAAAGCAUGAAAAUGUUAAUUAAUAUAUUUAGAGAGCAGAGAAAUUAAGUGUGAGAAUGUGGAGAUGGAGUAGACAAUUAAAAUAUCUGCUAAUUUCUCUCUUGAAUUCACAUUUGAGGCAAUGUUUGUAAACUGAGAAUUAUAAUUACUUUUCUCCGUCACACCUCUUUUCAGAUGAAUACGCUGUGAGAGGAUUAUAGUAGCUAUUAAAAACACUGUCAAGUUCCUGGUAGAUCAGUUGGGACUCUUUAUAUAGCAAGUACCAGAAGACCCAGCACACACUGGCUUACCCAGUAAAAGGAAGGUGUAGUUUUUAUGUGAUGUGAAAGUGCAAAGGUAGCAUGAACUUCAAGAUGGGUUUGAUCCAGCAUUUGUUAAUCCUGAUGCUCAGGCUUGUUUCUCCAUGUUGGGUACCAACAGUUCCUAGGCUUCUUCCUCCAAAUGCUGGGAGAGAGAGAGGGGCGUCCCUUCAGCCAACCAUCCAACAGAGUUCCUGAGCUUCAUGUCUGAUUGGACUAACUUGGGUCAUGUAGAUGGGAAAUGCCAGGGUCUGUUUGGCAUAGGUCUGGAUCAAGUGUCCAUCCCUAAAACAAUCACUGUGGGACACGAGAAGGUAGAAUGGACCCCCACCAUACCUGGGCACUCAGGCGGACCACGGGGCUUCAGGCGUGCAGACCUGGAGUCAUGUUGGUUUCUGCCCUCAUUGCUGGUUCAGCGUCUAAACUCUCUCUUCCCUGUAUCUCCUCCUUUGCAGGCGUGAUACUGGUCCAGGUCUUGUCCCAUGACCCCACAUUUAUUUUUAUUUUUAUUUUGCGGUACGUGGGCCUCUCACUGUUGUGGCCUCUCCCGUUGCGGAGCACAGGCUCCGGACACGCAGGCUCAGCGGCCAUGGCUCACGGGCCCAGCCGCUCCGCGGCAUGUGGGAUCUUCCUGGACCGGGGCACGAACCCAUGUCCCCUGCAUCGGCAGGCGGACUCUCAACCACUGCGCCACCAGGGAAGCC